AUUGAACGCUGGCGGCAGGCCUAACACAUGCAAGUCGAGCGGUAGAGAGAAGCUUGCUUCUCUUGAGAGCGGCGGACGGGUGAGUAAUGCCUAGGAAUCUGCCUGGUAGUGGGGGAUAACGUUCGGAAACGGACGCUAAUACCGCAUACGUCCUACGGGAGAAAGCAGGGGACCUUCGGGCCUUGCGCUAUCAGAUGAGCCUAGGUCGGAUUAGCUAGUUGGUGAGGUAAUGGCUCACCAAGGCGACGAUCCGUAACUGGUCUGAGAGGAUGAGCAGUCACACUGGAACUGGGACACGGUCCAGACUCCUACGGGAGGCAGCAGUGGGGAAUAUUGGACAAUGGGCGAAAGCCUGAUCCAGCCAUGCCGCGUGUGUGAAGAAGGUCUUCGGAUUGUAAAGCACUUUAAGUUGGGAGGAAGGGUUGUAGAUUAAUACUCUGCAAUUUUGACGUUACCGACAGAAUAAGCACCGGCUAACUCUGUGCCAGCCGCCGCGGUAA
rnacentral:rRNA from 1 species